rnacentral:rRNA from 1 species
AAAAACAUCGCCUCUUGACAAACAUAAGAGGUCCAGCCUGCCCAGUGACCUAGUUCAACGGCCGCGGUAUCCUAACCGUGCGAAGGUAGCGUAAUCACUUGUUCUUUAAAUGAGGACUAGUAUGAAUGGCACCACGAGGGUUAUACUGUCUCCUUUUUUUAAUCAGUGAAACUAAUCUCCCCGUGAAGAAGCGGGGAUUUUUUUAUAAGACGAGAAGACCCUAUGGAGCUUUAAACAAAUUAACACUUGCUGCCCAAGAUAACCCUUCUAGAAGCAUAACACACAGCAUAGCAUUCUGAUUAAUAGUUUUCGAUUGGGGUGAUCACGGAGUAAAAGAUAACCUCCAUGCCGAAAGGAACCUCCCCUGAGCAAAAAACCACAACUUUAAGCACUAAAAAAUUAACGUUUAUUGACCCAAUAUUUUGAUCAACGAACCAAGUUACCCUAGGGAUAACAGCGCAAUCCACUUCAAGAGCUCCUAUCGACAAGUGGGUUUACGACCUCGAUGUUGGAUCAGGGUAUCCCAGUGGUGCAGCCGCUACUAACGGUUCGUUUGUUCAACGAUUAAAACCCUACGUGAUCUGA